GCCUUCGUAGUGUAGUAGUCAGCACGCUCGACGCAUAUUCAAGAGAUCCAUCGUUCAAUUCCGGGCGAGGGCA
rnacentral:tRNA from 1 species